rnacentral:rRNA from 1 species
GGACCCGCACAAGCGGUGGAUGAUGUGGUUUAAUUCGAUGCAACGCGAAAAACCUUACCCACCUUUGACAUGGCAGGAAGUUUCCAGAGAUGGAUUCGUGCCCGAAAGGGAACCUGCACACAGGUGCUGCAUGGCUGUCGUCAGCUCGUGUCGUGAGAUGUUGGGUUAAGUCCCGCAACGAGCGCAACCCUUGCCAUUAGUUGCUACGAAAGGGCACUCUAAUGGGACUGCCGGUGACAAACCGGAGGAAGGUGGGGAUGACGUCAAGUCCUCAUGGCCCUUAUAGGUGGGGCUACACACGUCAUACAAUGGCUGGUACAGAGGGUUGCCAACCCGCGAGGGGGAGCUAAUCCCAUAAAGCCAGUCGUAGUCCGGAUCGCAGUCUGCAACUCGACUGCGUGAAGUCGGAAUCGCUAGUAAUCGCGGAUCAGAAUGUCGCGGUGAAUACGUUCCCGGGUCUUGUACACACCGCCCGUCACACCAUGGGAGCGGGUUCUGCCAGAAGUAGGUAGCCUAACCGUAAGGAGGGCGCUUACCACGGCAGGGUUCGUGACUGGGGUGAAGUCGUAACAAGGUAGCCGUAUCGGAAGGUGCGGCU